rnacentral:lncRNA from 1 species
CCCCCGUUGUCACCAACGUGACUGUGAAGGCACGAGUGUGGAACAGCACCUUCAUCGAGCAUCCAGCACAGGACCUGACGCAGAAAUGAAUGAACAAAUAAAUGAAUGAUGCGCAUUUGUGUGUGGAGGGGAGGCCUGGCUGACAGAUCCUUUGGGGAUUACAGAGACUUUGACCGAGUCCGGGUAAAUGGCUGGGCUACCCUAUUCCUCCGAACCAGCAUCCCCAC